rnacentral:rRNA from 1 species
UGGGGAAUAUUGCGCAAUGGGCGAAAGCCUGACGCAGCAACACCGCGUGAGGGAUGACGGCCUUCGGGUUGUAAACCUCUUUCAGCUCCGACGAAGCGAAAGUGACGGUAGGAGCAGAAGAAGCACCGGCUAACUACGUGCCAGCAGCCGCGGUAAUACGUAGGGUGCAAGCGUUGUCCGGAAUUAUUGGGCGUAAAGAGCUCGUAGGCGGUCCGUUGCGUCUGCCGUGAAAACCCGGAGCUCAACUCCGGGCCUGCGGUGGAUACGGGCGGACUAGAGUCCGGUAGGGGAGACUGGAAUUCCUGGUGUAGCGGUGGAAUGCGCAGAUAUCAGGAGGAACACCGGUGGCGAAGGCGGGUCUCUGGGCCGGAACUGACGCUGAGGAGCGAAAGCGUGGGGAGCGAACAGGAUUAGAUACCCUGGUAGUCCACGCCGUAAACGGUGGGCGCUAGGUGUGGGAUCGUUUCCACGAUCUCCGUGCCGUAGCUAACGCAUUAAGCGCCCCGCCUGGGGAGUACGGCCGCAAGGCUAAAACU